AGAGUUUGAUCAUGGCUCAGGAUAAACGCUAGCGGCAGGCCUAACACAUGCAAGUCGAGGGGCAGCGGGUGGAGUAUUUCGGUACUCCUGCCGGCGACCGGCGCACGGGUGCGUAACGCGUAUGCAACCUACCUUUAACAGGGGGAUAAUCCGAAGAAAUUUGGUCUAAUACCCCAUAAUAUCAUUUAAGGCAUCUUAGAUGGUUGAAAAUUCCGAUGGUUAGAGAUGGGCAUGCGUUGUAUUAGCUAGUUGGUGAGGUAACGGCUCACCAAGGCUACGAUACAUAGGGGGACUGAGAGGGUUUUUCCCCCCCACACUGGUACUGAGACACGGACCAGACUCCUACGGGAGGCA
rnacentral:rRNA from 1 species